GUGUACAGUCAUGCCACACUGAACAGCCCAUUCUCUUCUGCUCUUGGAAGCUAAGCGGGACUAGGCUUGGUUAGUGCUUGGAUGAAGGAUUCUUUUGAAACACUAAAGCUCAGGAGCAUU
rnacentral:rRNA from 1 species